rnacentral:rRNA from 1 species
UACAGAGGUCCCAAGCGUUGUUCGGAUUCAUUGGGCGUAAAGGGUGCGUAGGUGGCGCGCUAAGUCAGGUGUGAAAUUUCGGAGCUUAACUCCGAAACUGCAUUCGAUACUGCCGUGCUUGAGGACUGGAGAGGAGACUGGAAUUUACGGUGUAGCGGUGAAAUGCGUAGAUAUCGUAAGGAAGACCAGUGGCGAAGGCGGGUCUCUGGACAGUUCCUGACGCUGAGGCACGAAGGUCAGGGGAGCAAACGGG